UCCUUCAAACCUCACUUUGGUUUCCAUGCCCUACCACUCCACUAAGAUCUCUAGGAGACCUAAUAAUAACCUUUUAAGAUAUAGAUCUAUGAGACUUCAAAGCCUGGAAAGUACAGAUAUGUAUGGGAAUGAAGUAUAUGCUUUGCAGAAGUCACUUAAUGAAAGAGAUCUCAGUCCUUCUGUUGACCAGCCAUAGUGGUGAGAAUCAGAAAACAAGCUCUCAGUAAAUGCUCAUUUGUUCAUGCCCAGAUCAGGCCUGGCACAUAGGCAUUUAGGAAAUAUUAGUUGAGUGAUGAAGAACUCCAAUAUUUACUCCAAGAAGUAAAUAUUAGUGGAAUAAUGAAGUAUAGUUCCAGUCAUACACUAUACUGCCUCAAAGAAG